CAUAUGGUAUUCCUACGGGAGGCAGCAGUGGGGAAUUUUGGACAAUGGGCGCAAGCCUGAUCCAGCCAUGCCGCGUGAGUGAAGAAGGCCUUCGGGUUGUAAAGCUCUUUCGGUGGGGAAGAAAUAGCAUCGGUUAAUACCCGGUGUUGAUGACGGUACCCGCAUAAGAAGCACCGGCUAACUACGUGCCAGCAGCCGCGGUAAUACGUAGGGUGCGAGCGUUAAUCGGAAUUACUGGGCGUAAAGCGUGCGCAGGCGGUUUUGUAAGUCAGAUGUGAAAUCCCCGGGCUCAACCUGGGAACUGCAUUUGAGACUGCAAGGCUAGAGUGUGGCAGAGGGGGGUGGAAUUCCACGUGUAGCAGUGAAAUGCGUAGAGAUGUGGAGGAACACCGAUGGCGUGAAGUUGCACCCGCCUGGGCCAGUACGCGCUCAGCUACGAAAGCGUGGGGAGCAAACAGGAAUUAGAUACCCGGGCCCGCACAAGCGAGUGGAUGAUGUGGAUUAAUUCGAUGCAACGCGAAAAACCUUACCUACCCUUGACAUGUCAGGAAGCCCGGAGAAAUUUGGGCGUGCCCGAAAGGGAGCCUGAACACAGGUGCUGCAUGGCUGUCGUCAGCUCGUGUCGUGAGAUGUUGGGUUAAGUCCCGCAACGAGCGCAACCCUUGUCAUUAAUUGCCAUCAUUGAGUUGGGCACUUUAAUGAGACUGCCGGUGACAAACCGGAGGAAGGUGGGGAUGACGUCAAGUCCUCAUGGCCCUUAUGGGUAGGGCUUCACACGUCAUACAAUGGUCGGUCCAGAGGGUUGCCAACCCGCGAGGGGGAGCCAAUCUCAGAAAGCCGAUCGUAGUCCGGAUUGAAGUCUGCAACUCGACUUCAUGAAGUCGGAAUCGCUAGUAAUACGCGGAUCAGCAUGUCGCGGUGAAUACGUUCCCGGGCCUUGUAC
rnacentral:rRNA from 1 species